rnacentral:rRNA from 1 species
AUUGAACGCUGGCGGCAGGCCUAACACAUGCAAGACGAGCGGAUGAAGGGAGCUUGCUCCUGAAUUCAGCGGCGGACGGGUGAGUAAUGCCUAGGAAUCUGCCUGGUAGUGGGGGAUAACGUCCGGAAACGGGCGCUAAUACCGCAUACGUCUUGAGCGGGAAAGUGGGGGAUCUUCGGACCUCACGCUAUCAGAUGAGCCUAGGGCGGAUUAGCUAGUUGGUGGGGUAAAGGCCUACCAAGGCGACGAUCCGUAACUGGUCUGAGAGGAUGAUCAGUCACACUGGAACUGAGACACGGUCCAGACUCCUACGGGAGGCAGCAGUGGGGAAUAUUGGACAAAGGGCGAAAGCCUGAUCCAGCCAUGCCGCGUGUGUGAAGAAGGUCUUCGGAUUGUAAAGCACUUUAAGUUGGGAGGAAGGGCAGUAAGUUAAUACCUUGCUGUUUUGACGUUACCAACAGAAUAAGCACCGGCUAACUUCGUG